rnacentral:rRNA from 1 species
UACGUAGGUGGCGAGCGUUGUCCGGAUUUACUGGGCGUAAAGCGCGCGCAGGCGGUCCGGUAAGUCUCCGGUGAAAUCGCCCGGCUCAACUGGGCGGGUGCCGGGGAGACUGGCGGACUUGAGGAGCCUAGAGGCCGGUGGAACUCCCGGUGUAGUGGUGAAAUGCGUAGAGAUCGGGAAGAACACCAGUGGCGAAGGCAGUGUCCUGGGGAGUACCUGACGCUCAGGUGCGAAAGCCAGGGGAGCGAACGGG